rnacentral:rRNA from 1 species
CGGAAUCACUGGGCUUAAAGCGUGUGUAGGCGGACUUCUAAGUACCUUGUGAAAUCCCACGGCUUACCCGUGGAACUGCUCGGUAUACUGGUUGUCUUGAGCCACCUAGGGGCGAGUGGAACAAAUGGUGGAGCGGUGAAAUGCGUAGAUAUCAUUUGGAACGCCAAUGGUGAAAACAACUCGCUGGGGGUGUGCUGACGCUGAGACACGAAAGCCAGGGGAGCGAACGGG